rnacentral:lncRNA from 1 species
UGAAUCGACAAUCAUGCGGCACUCCAUUUUCAAUUGUGGACUACAGACCACACUUGCUUUAUCAAACCGACUAAGUGUUUCUCAUGACCCACAGUCCAAGCAGGGGCUCAUUAGUGGAUCACCAAAGUUUGGCCGAUAAGCCAAGGGGUUGCAAUCCUAGUAUGUGGAUUAUAGGUCCUCCUUUAGAGACGAGUCUAAGUCACCAAGACCUCAUGCGACCACAACUACAUUGCGCAUAGGGUAAUCUCUCGCAUAUGCAUACGC